rnacentral:rRNA from 1 species
UACGUAGGUCCCGAGCGUUGUCCGGAUUUAUUGGGCGUAAAGCGAGCGCAGGUGGUUUAUUAAGUCUGGUGUAAAAGGCAGUGGCUCAACCAUUGUAUGCAUUGGAAACUGGUAGACUUGAGUGCAGGAGAGGAGAGUGGAAUUCCAUGUGUAGCGGUGAAAUGCGUAGAUAUAUGGAGGAACACCGGUGGCGAAAGCGGCUCUCUGGCCUGUAACUGACACUGAGGCACGAAAGCGUGGGGAGCGAACAGG